CAAGUCAUAGAUUUUUCAAGAGGGCUAGCUCUUUGCAUAUUGUGGUUGGUCAUUUGUUCUCUGAAUGAGAAUUUGGGGUUGAUUUCUUUGUUAAUCCAUUUGUCUGUUUUCUUGGCUAACCAUGGUAUUCUCAGGAGUCUUCUGCAGGACCAAUGUUCAAAAGUAUCAUGCUUUUCUAUACUCCUUCUUCAAAGUCCAACUUUAAUUUCCAUAAACUGUUACACUUGCAUGUAGGAAUCUCAUUUUAGGUUGCUGGAUACGCCUCAACUAUAUUUUUUUCAAUCAACUUGCUCAGGAAGGAGAUUCAAGACUGACAGAAGGAAAUGUUUUUUACUACAUUGCAUACCUAAAUGAUGAAAUUUGCUGCCAAUAGUUGCGGUAAUGACAGCCAAUUUGGAUGAUUUUAAAAGAAGAUUGGAAAGAUUUGAACAGUAUACCAGUGGCUCCUAAUUCUGACUGCUGUUUACUGCUGCCACAAAUAGUGGUUACAGGGAAGUAACAAUGACAAGCAUCUAUCAUCUAAAUCUAGCAUUUAUUUUCCCUAAAUGCAUUAAGUGGGUCACUGUAUGAUCCAAUAUGCUGCGUUAGAUGGCCUACUGUCUGAUCCAGCAGGACUCUUUUUAUAUUUAUGAAAUUUCUGAUGCCCUAUUAUCAAGAAUGUAAAUUAAAAAAGAAAAUGAGUGUCAAGUAUUCAGAUAUCAUGUUAGCAUGACACAGUCAUCCACCUGGUCAUUUUAUGCCAGCUUGGUUCUUUGGAUUGAAAGCAGAAUAAAGCUUUCUUAGAAACAAUGGAAAACUA